rnacentral:rRNA from 1 species
UACGUAGGGGGCUAGCGUUGUCCGGAAUUAUUGGGCGUAAAGAGCGUGUAGGCGGCCCGACAAGUCCGCUGUGAAAGCCCAGGGCUCAACCCUGGGAUGCCGGUGGAAACUGUCGGCUAGAGUCCGGAAGAGGCGAGUGGAAUUCCUGGUGUAGCGGUGAAAUGCGUAGAUAUCGAGAGGAACACCUGCGGCGAAGGCGGGUAGCUGGGCCGACACUGACGCUGAGGCGCGAAAGCAUGGGGAGCGAACAGG